rnacentral:rRNA from 1 species
GAUGAACGCUGGCGGCGUGCCUAAUACAUGCAAGUCGAACGCUUCACUUCGGUGAAGAGUGGCGAACGGGUGAGUAAUACAUAAGUAACCUGGCGUCUACAGGGGGAUAACUGAUGGAAACGUCAGCUAAGACCGCAUAGGUGUAGAGAUCGCAUGAACUCUAUAUGAAAAGUGCUACGGGACUGGUAGAUGAUGGACUUAUGGCGCAUUAGCUGGUUGGUAGGGUAACGGCCUACCAAGGCGACGAUGCGUAGCCGACCUGAGAGGGUGACCGGCCACACUGGGACUGAGACACGGCCCAGACUCCUACGGGAGGCAGCAGUAGGGAAUUUUCGGCAAUGGGGGAAACCCUGACCGAGCAACGCCGCGUGAAGGAAGAAGUAAUUCGUUAUGUAAACUUCUGUCAUAGAGGAAGAACGGUGGAUAUAGGGAAUGAUAUCCAAGUGACGGUACU